rnacentral:rRNA from 1 species
AGGGAAUCUUCCGCAAUGGGCGAAAGCCUGACGGAGCAACGCCGCGUGAGUGAUGAAGGUCUUCGGAUCGUAAAGCUCUGUUAUUACGGAAGAACAAAUGCGUACGUAACUGUGCGCGUCUUGACGGUACCUAAUCAGAAAGCCACGGCUAACUACGUGCCAGCAGCCGCGGUAAUACGUAGGUGGCAAGCGUUAUCCGGAAUUAUUGGGCGUAAAGCGCGCGUAGGCGGUUUUUUAAGUCUGAUGUCAAAGCCCACGGCUCAACCGUGGAUG